rnacentral:misc_RNA from 1 species
AAGUCGUAACAAGGUUUCCGUAGGUGAACCUGCGGAAGGAUCAUUAGUGAUUUUUUCAGAAGUUUUGGGGGAUUUUUUUUAUGAAGUAAACCUUUUGAAAAGGGGGUUUAUUUCAAAAAUAAAAAAACCCAAAUUUUCAACCAUUUGUGAACAAGAAACCUGUAAAAAUAACUAACACGAGUUAAUUCUUUUGUUAGUUAAUUUUUUUAAACUAAGAGUUUAAUCUUUAUUUCUAUAACACAUUGUUUAAGCUAUUUCAUAGAACUUUAUAAUCUAUUAAAAACAACUAUUAACAAUGGAUCCCUUGGCUCUUA